GUAGGGAAUAUUGGACAAUGGGGGCAACCCUGAUCCAGCAAUGCCGCGUGAGUGAUGAAGGCCUUAGGGUUGUAAAGCUCUUUUACCCGGGAUGAUAAUGACAGUACCGGGAGAAUAAGCUCCGGCUAACUCCGUGCCAGCAGCCGCGGUAAUACGGAGGGAGCUAGCGUUGUUCGGAAUUACUGGGCGUAAAGCGCGCGUAGGCGGCUGUUUAAGUCAGAGGUGAAAGCCUGGAGCUCAACUCCAGAACUGCCUUUGAGACUGGACAGCUAGAAUCCUGGAGAGGUGAGUGGAAUUCCGAGUGUAGAGGUGAAAUUCGUAGAUAUUCGGAAGAACACCAGUGGCGAAGGCGGCUCACUGGACAGGUAUUGACGCUGAGGUGCGAAAGCGUGGGGAGCAAACAGGAUUAGAUACCCGAGUAGUCC
rnacentral:rRNA from 1 species